rnacentral:misc_RNA from 1 species
CCUUCGUUUUCAAUUCUCGAGCGUACCGUGGAGUGUCGAGCCGACCGCCGCGAGUCUAUGUAAUGUCGACAAGGAUGUUGACGUUUAAUUCAGCUCGUCGGAAGCAACGAAUACGCGCCGCGCGAGUCUCGUGAAUAAUGUCAACGGGUUCCUCGUAACUUGUCGCACGCGAUCGUGAUAAUGUUAUGCACCACAGGGUUCAUAUAAAUUUGUAGACUUGAUGAACGAACGAUCUUUGUACGCGCGAGGGCUUUGGCUCGAACUGUGACGCGCCAUAUUGGUUUAAGAGAAUUGUUCAUGUUAGUGGGCUUUCGGUGAAUCGGUUAUAUUGCAAAUGCACGUAGAAUAAAAUAGAGUAUCGACAAUGGAAGAGACUAAAAUCAUUUAUCACAUUGACGACGAGGAAACCCCUUACCUGGUGAAGCUCACUAUCUCACCGGAAAGGGUCACUCUAGCCGACUUUAAAAAUGUCUUAAAUCGGCCGAAUUAUAAGUAUUUCUUCAAAUCAAUGGACGAUGAUUUUGGUGUGGUGAAGGAAGAAAUUGUAGAUGAUGAUGCUCACCUUCCUUGUUUCAAUGGACGGGUUGUUUCUUGGCUGGUGUCUGCUGAAGGCAGUAAUGUAUCAGAUGGUGCAUCACAGUGCACAGAUUCAGUGGCACAUAGUGAAGCAAAACAUGAUCGUGUCGAUCAUGUGACACCAGGUCACACAAAUCGUGGUCCACCACCACUUUCACACGAUGACACUCUGACUGAAACUGAGAGUAUGAUAAGCAGUCAGCAAGGACAUCAUUUACAUAAAAGUUCAAGACAUCAUUCAGAUAAAUAUGAAAAAUAUAAUAAAUAUAAUGGGCUUCGUAUAAAUGGUCACUCAAAACAUAGAUCAGGCCAUGGUUAUGAGACUGCUUCUAUUUUAAGUUCAGAUUUAGAGACAACAACAUUUUUAGAAUCAGAUGACGAUGCGAGUAGCCGUAUAACGUCAACAACUGGCAGACACACCAACAUGAGUAGCACAGUUGAUAGAGCUACCUUAGAUCGACGUAGACCACAAAGAAGAAGGCGUCAUAGAUUACCACCUAUGUCUAGAACAUCGUCCUUCAGCAGUAUCACGGACAGUACAAUGUCUUUAAAUAUUAUAACAGUUUCAUUGAACAUGGAUACUGUUAACUUCCUUGGAAUUAGUAUUGUUGGUCAGAGUAAUAAAGGUGGAGAUGGGGGAAUCUAUGUUGGUUCCAUAAUGAAAGGGGGAGCAGUUGCUAUAGAUGGUCGAAUAGAACCUGGUGACAUGAUUCUUCAAGUAAACGAUAUUAACUUUGAGAAUAUGUCUAAUGAUGAGGCAGUUAAAGUAUUACGUGAAGUAGUUCAAAAACCAGGACCAAUCAAAUUAGUUGUUGCAAAGUGCUGGGAUCCUAAUCCAAAAGGUUAUUUCACAAUACCGCGUACAGAACCUGUACGGCCUAUAGAUCCCGGCGCUUGGGUAGCACAUACAGCUGCUAUAAGGGGUGAAGGCUUUCCUCCACGUCCACCAAGUGCUACGACAUUAACGUCAACGUCAAGUAGCCUUGCAAGUACAUUGCCAGACACAGAACGACCGUUAGAAGAACUUCACCUUACGGUCAAUACCGAUAUGCCAACUGUAGUACGAGCCAUGGCUCGGCCUGACUCAGGGUUGGAAAUUCGUGAUCGUAUGUGGCUUAAAAUAACAAUACCAAAUGCAUUCAUUGGGGCAGAUGUGGUGGAUUGGCUUCAUACUCACGUCGAAGGAUUUAUCGAUCGUCGCGACGCAAGGAAAUAUGCCUCUCUCAUGCUAAAAGCUGGCUUCAUUAGGCAUACAGUGAACAAAAUAACAUUUUCUGAACAAUGUUACUACAUAUUUGGUGAUUUAUGUUCAGCCAUGAGUAGCAUGAAACUAGAUUGCGAUACUGUUGGACCAUUACCUCCGCCAAAUGCCUGGGACAUGCCUUAUUCAGGGACAUACGCACCUCAUUCUGCAACUGGUUACAGUCCAAUGCCAUUUAACUUCACCAAUGAACCGACUGUGUAUGGUUAUCACCGCGAAGAAAGUGUUCACAGUGGUUCAGGAGGAAGUAGCGCAGUGCCAACUAUGCCAAGUAAGAAUUCCGGCAACGGGAAUGGUUCAAACGGAAAGAGGUCGAACGGUAGCCGCAGUCGUUCCAGCGGUUCUGAACAGUCUGUGCAGACAGGAACUGGUUCAGGAAAUCAACAAAAUCAACAAGACUUAUCUGGUAGUAGACAGUCAUUUCGCAUUGCGAUGGGAAAUCCUUGUGAAUUCUUUGUUGAUGUUAUGUAGAUGCCGGUGUUGUAAAUAGAUGAUUUAUAAAUUUGGACAGAAAAAAUCAAUCAAACAUAUAAAUUCAACAUUUGAAUGAAUACUUCGAAACGUUUUAAUGCGACAAUUUGUACAAGAUCUUGCAAGUGAAUAUUAGAUGUUCUCUUCAUUCUACUCUUAAUAUUACUGUUACAAUUUUUUUCCAUUAACACAUAUAUCAAAUUGUUAAUGUUGCAUGUCUUCUAUCGUUCAGAAUCGAUAUUUCAAAGUAUUUAUUCACUGCCCAAUUCAACUUGUUUUUCAGGUUUAUACCAUUCGCAAUAGAGAUUCCAAUAAUUUGUUUAUACAUGUCGAUUCAACUUUGCAUUCCACUUUGUAUUAUGUACUUGACAACAAUAACGUGUUUAAAGUCCGUUUUCUCAUUAAGUGUAUUUCGCAUUCGUGAAAAUAUUUGCAUGUAACGUGUACAUAUAUAUAUGCUAAUACAAUUCAAAAAGGUUGCAUCGGUGUAUAAGAUUUGAAUGCAACGAACAGUGAAGAAGGUAUCUUUAUACUAUAACGAUAAUGUAUAAUGUUAUUUAAAUCCGUUAGUUCUUUGUAGCAGUUCACUUUUUUUUUAUUAUUUAGUAAUAUGAAAUUUAACAAAGUUUACUUUCCCUUUAAAACAAUCAAAUAAGUGUUUUAUGCAAAGUCGUACAUUAAAACAAAUUUGAAACUGAAUCGUAUAUUUACACUUUCUCGUUAAAUAAAUGAAGCUGCUAUUUUUUGCAUGAGAUAUGCAACUGCUGUGUUGAAAUUUAGCAUACGUUCAGCAAAUCGAGACUGCUACAAUUAUUAUUGUACGGGAAACUCAGUAUUUAAUAUCAAUAAUAAUAAUACGUUAUUAUAUAUAUACACUAUAAUGCACGCUUUAUAAUAAAUAUAUUACGUUGUAAUUGUUUAUGUAAAGCACGAUCGCACAAGAUAGUAGAGCACAAGCAUGGUCAUGUAAAUAACACAGUUUACGUCGACGAAUUUAAGUAAUAAACUAUUGCAACAAUUCGCUAUGUAAUGCAUGUAAAUUAUACACAUUAUUUUAUUACGAAAGGUACGUAUCUUUAUUAAUAUUUUUCCAUUGCUUGCGUUCUAGGAUUGUCUACGACAAUGGGGCAGCUAUUUCUUUAAAAAUCGAGAGGAUAUUGUGUCGAAAAUAUUAAAUGAUUCACUAAUUAUUACUUUUUAGAAACGCACUUUCUAAGGGUAAUCUGCUAUAAACGAAAUAAAAAUAUUAUAUAUAUAUAUGUAAAUGUACAAACAAAAUAUACAAUUUUUUAUUGUAUAUUUGGGUAAUUAUUGGUGAAUCAUUUAAACAAUCUGGUCCAUGCGUAAAGGACGAAUUUUUUAUUGUAUUCCUACUAAUUCAAGUUUAUUAUUUGGUAAUGAAAGAGAUUGUUUACAAUUAUGUUAUGUGGUAUUGCAUCACAGGUUCGACAAUAUGUAAAUAGAACGAAUUAUGCUCAUAUUAAAUGUGCCAUCUUAUCAGUGUUAGAAAGUAUUGAAAAAAAAAUAAUAAACUGCGACGUAUAAUUUAUAUAUGUACUAGCUGUCUCAACAUGAUUGACUGCUGCGAAAAUUGCAGGUUCUUCAUAUUAAAACGAAACAAAAGUCCUUUACCAUUUUGUAAUAUACUUAAUACUAAAGUAGUUUUUGAUUUAUUUUAACACGAAAAGUCUGUAGUUUUCGCUGUGUACACUCGGGUGCAACAUGGACUUCCUUUGGAUUAUCACCAAUGUAAUGGGAGGAGUCUCCCAUCACUUUUAGAGAAUUAAACAUGUAAACUUGUAGAUUUUUAAGUUCUAAAAUCCCCAAAUUAGAUCCUAGAGUUCUCAAAUUUUCAAACGCGAAAAUUGGUAAACUUGAACAUUUUUACGACUGAUGGAUCCUCUUGCCUCUACAUCGCCAUGUUCCCUAGGAAAGUUUCCGGUGCUCCAAUCUUUUUGAGACAUCAUGUAUGUAAUACACGUGCUUUCCAGGUGUAUGCAUUUCUUAAUCGUUUAUGUUUCAUUGAUGUCAUCAUUAUUUACAAUACGAAUUAUCUUCUGCAUCUCACAUACACAAGCUUAUUUAAUUUCAACAAACUUUGUAACAUUUCAUUGCGUCUUGCCGUUGCGUUAUUAUCAUGUAAAUUUUUUAUUUAGCGUAUCUCGUAUCGAAACAACGUGCUCUUCUUUUCUCUCUUUGUUUUCUUUCUUAAAUGCCGCUAGAAGAUAUUUACAUUCGAUGCACUGAAGUGCGUUCGCGACGUUAAUAUAAGACUAGAUAUUUCAAAUAUGGUAUAAUGUUUGUUUCGAACGUUUCUCCUUUUUAUAUCGAUUUUACUAUAUUUCUAUAUUUACACGAAUGACCAUUUCCAUUACUUUCUAAAUAUUUAUCGAAUACGUAGAGAAUAUUAUUCGUAACAUGGAACCAUGUUUGAAACUUUCGUGCAAUUUUCCAAAAUGUAUAGUAACCCUUUUAUAUCGUCUUUUUUUUCGUAUAAUCAAACACUGGACAUUUUGCUAGGAGAAUAACAAUGUAUAGUAGAAAGUUUUCGUUGGUAUGAAAUAAAAAAUUUCCUUGGAAAAUUGCACGCUGUAAUCAUUAAUUUCAACGAGUGUAUUUCGUUUCACCACCGAUUAUGUAAUUCGAUAUUUAAGAGGGUAAUUAACACAAAAUUAAGGUACCGACUAUUAUAUAAUUAUUCUGUAAAAUAUAUACAUAUUUUAUGUUGCAGACAGGCUGUACAGUAUGUCUGAGAAACGCAAAAUUGUAAAAACAACGAUGUUUCAUUAAACGAUAACCGAGAAAGGAGGAAGUGAAAUGCAUACAAAUUUUGUGACUCACAGACAUACUAUCAAAUUUGGUUGAUUUUAUUUUCUAUUUAUUGUGCCGCUCUAAAAGGACUUGCUGCUUUCUGUCAUAACAUACAAAACGACUCAAUUCCCUUUGCAACUAACGUUGCGCGUUAAAUGGAUUACAUCAAUGUCAGAGACGUAAUCGGGUCAUUUUUGUGCCUUGUGCUGCGCUGACGGUCGACGCAGAACGGCGUAUGCACGAGGAAACUCGUACUAACGAUUUGGACAACAAUAGCAGAGGCAAUAUCUAUGAAGAGGACAUUUUGGAGUACCAGUUUCUGCACAAGUGAAGAUGCUCGUUAGCGGGAUACGUAUACGUAAUGGUCGUAAUAGAGGAGUUGAGAACAAGAAAUUAAGGUAUAAUUUUCACUCGACCUUAAUUAGUCGGACGGAUAUUAGUACUGGCGAAACAUAUAUAUAAAUAUAUAUAUUUAUAUAUAUAUUUAAUAGGCCAAUUUUGAUAAUGCGUCAUAGAGGAUGAACAAGGAUCCAACCUCUCCGUAUAAUUUGUAACGGUUAUACAUAAAAAUAGAAUUAAGGUCAUCGAAUUUCUACCGUGGUAUUUCAAAUAUCACGCACGAGAAUUAUAUAUGUUUAUAACGCGAUCCGCAACAACAAAGAAAGAAAAAAUGUCUCGAGUAACGAUGGCGGGUUAAGCGUGUUUUCUUUAAAGCAGGGUGCAUGCAAGAUCGAGGACACUCGAUACCGCGAAUUGUUUUAUAAAAUUAUAGCUGCACUUGUUCUUUCCUUUUUCGCCUUCGAACGAGGAUAUCUUUUAUUACUCCUCGUCAUAUAUAUAUUAUAUUUUUCGUAUGUUGUUUCUCCUGAAAAA